GUCUAUGGUCAUACCACCCUGAACACGCCUGAUGUUGUCUCACCUUGGGAGCUAAGCAGGGUUGGGCUUGGUUAGGACUUGGAUGGGAGCCCCUUAGAUUUGUUACCUGAAAUUUUUUUCC
rfam:TPA: Bos taurus chromosome 27, whole genome shotgun sequence.